rnacentral:lncRNA from 1 species
AAUCAGACAAAUGUUCACUACUACUGGGAUCAGAGGUGAGGUCUGACUGACCUGCCCAUAGUAAAUGUAAAUGAUUUGUUAUUUUGUCCCAUACGUGAAUAUAUAUGGUUUAGGGGUGGGGAUCUCGACGGUUUUCAAGUUCUCAAACAGGAAGGGGUAGGGUGACCCUAGGGACUUCCCCUACAUUUCAUUUGAUUUGUUAUAUUGUCCCAUACAUAAAUAUAUAUGGUUUAGGGGUUGGGAUCUCAUCGGUUUCCAAGUUCUCAAACAGGAAGGGGUAGGGUGACCCCAGGGACUCCCCCUAUAUUUCAUUUAAUUAGUUAUAUUGGCCCAUACAUGAAUAUAUAUUAUUUCGGUGUGGGGAUCUGGACCGUUUCCAAGUUCUCAUACAGGAGGGGUUGGGUGACCACAGGGACUUCCCCUAUAUUUCAUUUGAUUUGUUAUAUUGUCCCAUACAUGAGUAUAUAUGGUUGAG